rnacentral:piRNA from 1 species
UGGUUGUUGGACUCUGCCUUUGCCUGUUGUG